CCAUCUUCGGUGAAGCAUUCAGAAAGCAAGUGCCUGGGAAUAUUAUCUCAGGGAAUAUUCACAUUAAAGAAGUCAUAUAAUUCAAAAGAUGAAAAAUGCCAUGUAUCUCCUAUCCAAUAUGGUAAGUAACAGCUGAAAGUCAACUCUGGAUCAUCUGUAUAGUGGGGCGAUAAAGAGCAUAUAAAAUCAUAAAUAAACUCAGAGUGGUUUUUGUUUUGGAAUGGUUCCUGUACUUCCAUAUGAAUAAGACAGUGACUCACUCCCUUGGGAAUUCACAGUACAUCAAACCAAAUUAGGAAGCCAGGCAGCUGUGACCUGCUUUUGUAAGGGCCAAGAAAACUACAGAGUUUCACUACUGAACCUAGAACUCAAAAUGAUUCCCUGAUUCCCAUGCCAUUUGGGACAUGGGUGUAUCUUACUGACUCAUAAAAAAUGCCACUCUGGGCUUGUGUUUUCUCUUACCUUACCCAGAGUUGUAUGUGAGGAAAUAAAGGCUUGAGAGAUCUUGAGGUGGCAGUUUACAGGAGGGCAAAAGGAAACAGGAGUUAGAAUAAACAAUGUUAGUUAGUAACAACUUGGAUGCAAGACUGACCUCAUGCAAUCUCUAAGGUACAUUGAAUCGAAGGAGGGAGAGAGCUCUCAACAGCUUGUUCUCAGUCUGCUCCGCCUCCUGAAUACAUCUGUUCAUCUAAGAAAAGGAUUAAAUUCAAGAUAACCCUUGCCAUCUGCGUUCUGUCACAUGGUUAGGAUGAAGACUGACACAGGAGACAAGUGACGGCCUGCUCUGCGGCGUUCCCUAACUCAUGUCACUGUGGGCACAUUUCCUGAACCAUCACUUCUAAGCAGCCAGAAAGAGAAGGUUGUACUUUUGAAACAACAGCGUCCAAUUGAAAAAACCGGGCUGAAGUUUUCUGAACGUAUGGGACUCUUCUUUAUAAUUUGAACAAAGAAGAGGAGGAAAAUUACAGGGCCACCGCAGCACAGGGCAGGAGAGCUCCCUUCUGUCCUUCUGCUUCUCCUCAAACAAUCCAGCAAAAUGAUGCCUGCAAACACCACUCCAAAAGUGACCGGCACGCAUUCCAGCUGCUCGCCACACAAUCAGUCCUUUCUGUCCAGAAAAAGGCCUGGGAUUCAUGCUGGCUUUUGCGUAGUGCGUUUAGCGUCAUGCCGGCCCACUCCCCACGCCCUCGCGCCCACACAGAGAAAGAAAGAGAAACAUGGCAAGACGGGCUGUGCUCGGCUGAUUGUUAGGAAGGCAUUCAGGUACCAGGCUUCCAAGAUGUUUGGCCACGUUCAAGCUCAACUUUGGUGACAUAUUGCACAUCUGCGAUAUUUUUAUAAAUUACAAUAAUCCAAAAAUAAAUAAGAUAUGAAUAUGAAUUCUCUGAAAGAGAAAGAGGCAAUGUGAUGAUUAUAGUGAAAGGAGACAGUAUUGGAUGUUUUAAGCAUUUAGCCACAACUAAAAGACUUUGGCAUCUGGUUAGUGUUUCUCUUUUGUCACUUCCCUCCUGCUCAAUUUUCUUAUCAACCAUUAAAAAUGUAUUCAUUGCCCAACCACG